rnacentral:tRNA from 1 species
UUCCCGGUGGUGUAAUUGGUAACACAGCAGGUUUUGGUCCUGCCAUUCCAGGUUCGAGUCCUGGCCGGGAAACCA